AGCGGAGGAAAAGAAACCAACAGGGAUUGCCCCAGUAACGGCGAGUGAAGCGGCAACAGCUCAAAUUUGAAAUCUGGCCCCUAGGGCCCGAGUUGUAAUUUGCAGAGGAUGCUUUUGGCGAGGUGCCUUCCGAGUUCCCUGGAACGGGACGCCAUAGAGGGUGAGAGCCCCGUCUGGUUGGAUGCCGAGCCUCUGUAAAGCUCCUUCGACGAGUCGAGUAGUUUGGGAAUGCUGCUCUAAAUGGGAGGUAUAUGUCUUCUAAAGCUAAAUACCGGCCAGAGACCGAUAGCGCACAAGUAGAGUGAUCGAAAGAUGAAAAGCACUUUGAAAAGAGGGUUAAAUAGUACGUGAAAUUGUUGAAAGGGAAGCGCUUAUGACCAGACUUGGACCCGGUGAAUCAUCCAGCGUUCUCGCUGGUGCACUUUGCCGGGCUCAGGCCAGCAUCAGUUUGCCUUGGGGGAUAAAGGCUUUGGGAAUGUGGCUCCCUCGGGAGUGUUAUAGCCCAUUGCACAAUACCCUGGGGCGGACUGAGGUUCGCGCAUCUGCAAGGAUGCUGGCGUAAUGGUCAUCAGCGACCCGUCUUGAAACACGGACCAAGGAGUCGUCUUCGUAUGCGAGUGUUCGGGUGUAAAACCCCUACGCGUAAUGAAAGUGAACGCAGGUGAGAGCUUCGGCGCAUCAUCGACCGAUCCUGAUGUUCUCGGAUGGAUUUGAGUAAGAGCAUACGGGGCCGGACCCGAAAGAAGGUGAACUAUGCCUGUAUAGGGUGAAGCCAGAGGAAACUCUGGUGGAGGCUCGCAGCGGUUCUGACGUGCAAAUCGAUCGUCAAAUAUGGGCAUGGGGGCGAAAGA
rnacentral:rRNA from 1 species